UGAGAAGACUUCUCUCAAAAGAAAGUCUAGAAUUCUAUGGUUGUGAAAAGUUGUGACUGGAAAGCUUGGCAAAUAAGUCUGCUGCGAGACAAAGUCUUGCUCACCCAGGCUGGAGUGCAGUGGCAUGAUCAUAGUUCACUGCAGCCUUGAUCUCCUGGGCUCAAGUGAUUCUCCCAUCUCAGCCUCCCGGUAGUUAGGACUAUAGGCAUAAACCACCAUGCCCAGCUAAGUAAAAACAAACAAACAAAAAAACAAAACAACAACAACAACAACAACAAAAACCUUUUUGUAGAGAUUGGUCUCAAUAUAUUGCCCAGGCUAGUCUCCAAAGAUCCUCAAGCAAUAUUGCCACCUUGGCCUUCUGAAGUGCUGGAAUUACAGGCAUGAACCACCUUACCCAGCCACAAUGAAACAUUAGUUGCAAAGACGCGCAAGAAAUCUGGUGCCAUGACUUGGAUCGGGGGACCUCUCUUGGGAGAU
rnacentral:lncRNA from 1 species